rnacentral:rRNA from 1 species
GACGAACGCUGGCGGCGUGCUUAACACAUGCAAGUCGAACGGAAAGGCCCUGCUCUUGUGGGGUGCUCGAGUGGCGAACGGGUGAGUAACACGGGAGUAACCUGCCCUUGACUUUGGGAUAACUUCAGGAAACUGGGGCUAAUACCGGAUAGGAGCUCCUUCUGCAUGGUGGGGGUUGGAAAGUUUCGGCGGUUGGGGAUGGACUCGCGGCUUAUCAUCUUGUUGGUGGGGUAGUGGCUUACCAAGGCCUUGACGGGUAGCCGGCCUGAGAGGGUGACCGGCCACAUUGGGACUGAGAUACGGCCCAGACUCCUACGGGAGGCAGCAGUGAGGGAUAUUGCACGAUGGGCGGAGGCCUGAUGCAGCAACGCCGCGUGCGGGAUGACGGCCUUCGGGUUGUAAACCGCUUUCGCCUGUGACGAAGCGUGAGUGACGGUAAUGAGUAAAGAAGCACCGGCUAACUACGUG